rnacentral:rRNA from 1 species
UACGAAGGGGGGCUAGCGUUGCUCGGAUUGACUGGGCGUAAAGGGCGCGUAGGCGGUUCGUACAGUCAGACGUGAAAUUCCUGGGCUCAACCUGGGGGCCUGCGUUUGAUACGUGCGGACUUGAGUGCGGAAGAGGGUCGUGGAAUUCCCAGUGUAGAGGUGAAAUUCGUAGAUAUUGGGAAGAACACCGGUGGCGAAGGCGGCGACCUGGUCCGAUACUGACGCUGAGACACGAAAGCCAGGGGAGCAAACGGG